UAUAUUUUAGGGGAAGAGGCCCAGUAUUUUUUGAAAUUAUUAGAUAUAGUUUAAUUCUAUAAAAUAUAA
rnacentral:tRNA from 1 species